AUAACAGUUGGAAACGACUGCUAAUACCGCAUAAGCGCACAAUACCGCAUGGUACCGUGUGAAAAACUCCGGUGGUAUGAGAUGGACCCGCGUCUGAUUAGCUAGUUGGUGGGGUAACAGCCUACCAAGGCGACGAUCAGUAGCCGACCUGAGAGGGUGACCGGCCACAUUGGGACUGAGACACGGCCCAAACUCCUACGGGAGGCAGCAGUGGGGAAUAUUGCACAAUGGGGGAAACCCUGAUGCAGCGACGCCGCGUGAGCGAAGAAGUAUUUCGGUAUGUAAAGCUCUAUCAGCAGGGAAGAAAAAAUGACGGUACCUGACUAAGAAGCACCGGCUAAAUACGUGCCAGCAGCCGCGGUAAUACGUAUGGUGCAAGCGUUAUCCGGAUUUACUGGGUGUAAAGGGAGCGCAGGCGGUGCGGCAAGUCUGAUGUGAAAGCCCGGGGCUCAACCCCGGUACUGCAUUGGAAACUGUCGUACUAGAGUGUCGGAGGGGUAAGUGGAAUUCCUAGUGUAGCGGUGAAAUGCGUAGAUAUUAGGAGGAACACCAGUGGCGAAGGCGGCUUACUGGACGAUAACUGACGCUGAGGCUCGAAAGCGUGGGGAGCAAACAGGAUUAGAUACCCUGGUAGUCCACGCCGUAAA
rnacentral:rRNA from 1 species